rnacentral:rRNA from 1 species
CCUACGGGUGGCAGCAGUGAGGAAUAUUGGUCAAUGGACGGAAGUCUGAACCAGCCAUGUCGCGUGCAGGAAGACGGCUCUAUGAGUUGUAAACUGCUUUUGUACAAGGGUAAACCUGAAUACGUGUAUUUAGUUGAAAGUACUGUAUGAAUAAGGAUCGGCUAACUCCGUGCCAGCAGCCGCGGUAAUACGGAGGAUCCAAGCGUUAUCCGGAUUUACUGGGUGUAAAGGGCGUGCAGCCGGGAAGACAAGUCAGAUGUGAAAUCUCGCGGCUCAACCGCGGAACUGCAUUUGAAACUGCUUGUCUUGAGUGAUGGAGAGGUCGUCGGAAUUCCUUGUGUAGCGGUGAAAUGCGUAGAUAUAAGGAAGAACACCAGUGGCGAAGGCGGAUGACUGGACGGCAACUGACGGUGAGGCGCGAAAGCGUGGGGAGCAAACAGGAUUAGAUACCCGGGUAGUC